rnacentral:tRNA from 1 species
CAUUGAGAAGCUAAUCAGCAUUAACCUUUUAAGUUAAAGAUCGAGAGAGUGACCUCUCCUCAAUGA